AUUUUGCUAAUUGUCGAGUUGUCUCUACCAAAUAAUUGACUGCUUUCCCGUUCAAUUUAGUUUGCCAUUUUGUUCAUAGCACUUUCUUUGGAUUGGAGCGGAACAAAUUUUGUUUUUCCUGAUCUUUUGUGGCCACAUAUAUUGCAUUUCGUUACUUUCGUCCAUGGGUAAGCAGCUCCGGUUUGUCAGCAAAGACCUGUAGGCUCCUCCUCGCAAAAAAAGAAGAAGACCUACAGGCUAUACAGGGGACGUGGAGAUUCCUUAUGACAUUGAGGUGGAUUCGGAUGAUCUAGCCUUUCCAAUCAGUUUCAGGGCAGUUGUGCCAUCUCACGUCCUUGACUGUCAAAACUUUGGAGAAGAAACUAGAUAGAAAAAUUGAUUACAUCGGAGUAACACUUUGUAGCUAGAUGAGACGGGAUUCAGAACUUGUUCCCUCUGUAAUUUGUUUGUUUCCGUAGCAUGCUGCUUUACUCCUACUUUUGAUUCAUAAAUUAUGAAUGCAUUUUAAACUGACUCCGUGGGGCGCUACCUAUGAAAUGCAUUUUAAACUGACAUUCAUGCUUGAACAAAAACUAUGUUACUCUGUAUAUGUUUUAUUGUAUAGAUUAGAUCACCAAGUGUAUCUCAUCACUGUGCCAUUUUUCUGUUCAUAUAUAUGACGGUGUAACAUACUGCUGGCAGGCAGUAGCUAACAACCUUGUACUCUUUUUUUUUGUUACAUAUAUACUCCUUUGUUUUGCA